rnacentral:tRNA from 1 species
UCUGGGAUAGAGCUCAGUGGUAGAGCACAUGUAAACACAUACAUGUGUGAGGCCUGGGUUCAAUCCCCAGCCCUAGGA